rnacentral:tRNA from 1 species
UCCAGGGUAGCCUAGUGGACAUGGCAUCUGCCCAUAAGCGGAAUACUGUGGGUCCGAUUCCCAUUCCUGGAC